rnacentral:rRNA from 1 species
AUAGCCCACCGAAAGGUGGAUUAAUGCCAAAUGUGGUCUCUAGUCGCAUGGCUAGAACACUAAAGGCGGGGAUUCUUCGGAACCUGUCGCUUGAGGAGGAGCCCGCGUACGAUUAGCUUGUUGGUGAGGUAACGGCUCACCAAGGCUGUGAUCGUUAGCUGGUCUGAGAGGAUGGUCAGCCACACUGGGACUGAGACACUGCCCAGACUCCUACGGGAGGCUGCAGUCGAGAAUCAUUCGCAAUGCGCGGAAGCGUGACGAUGCGACGCUGCGUGGAGGAUGAAGGCCUUAGGGUUGUAAACUCCUGUCAGGAGGGAAAAAUAGGCGGUAGGCUAAUAUUCUACCGAGUUGAUGGUACCUCCAGAGGAAGCCACGGCUAACUCUGUGCCAGCAGCCGCGGUAAUACAGAGGUGGCGAGCGUUGUUCGGAUUUACUGGGCGUAAAGGGUGCGUAGGCGGUCAGGUAAGUUGGAUGUGGAAGCCCAUGGCCCAACCAUGGAACUGCAUCUGAUACUGCUUGACUAGAGUACAUGAGGGGAGAGCGGAAUUCUUGGUGUAGCGGUGAAAUGCGUUGAUAUCAAGAAGAACACCGGUGGCGAAGGCGGCUCUCUGGAAUGUUACUGACGCUGAGGCACGAAAGCUGGGGGAGCAAACAGGAUUAGAUACCCUGGUAGUCCCAGCCGUAAACGGUGUCAACUUGGUGUGGGAGGCAUUAACGCCUUCCGUGCCGGAGCUAACGCGUUAAGUUGACCGCCUGGGGAGUACGGCCGCAAGGCUAAAACUCAAAGAAAUUGACGGGGGCCCGCACAAGCGGAGGAGCAUGUGGCUUAAUUCGAUGCAACGCGAAGAACCUUACCCAGACUUGACAUAUAUCUGCACGCCCUGUGAAAGCAGGGAAGCCUUCGAGGGUGAUAUACAGGUGCUGCAUGGCUGUCGUCAGUUCGUGCCGUGAGGUGUUUGGUUAAGUCCAGCAACGAACGCAACCCUUGUGAUUAGUUGCCACUCCCGUUCUGCGGGAAGCACUCUAAUCAGACUGCCCUUGCAAAAGGGAGGAAGGUGGGGAUGACGUCAAGUCAGUAUGGCCCUUACGUCUGGGGCUGCACACGUGCUACAAUGGCCGGUACAGAAGGCAGCAAUACCGCGAGGUGGAGCAAAUCCUCAAAACCGGCCUCAGUUCGGAUUGGAGUCUGCAACU